GCCCGGGUGGCGGAAUUGGUAUACGCGGAGGACUUAAAAUCCUUAACCCGUAAGGGUGUGCGGGUUCGACUCCCGCCCUGGGCACCA
rnacentral:tRNA from 1 species